rnacentral:rRNA from 2 species
UACAGAGGUGGCAAGCGUUGUUCGGAAUUACUGGGCGUAAAGGGCGCGUAGGCGGCCUUCUAAGUCAGACGUGAAAUCCCCCGGCUUAACCUGGGAACUGCGUCUGAUACUGGAGGGCUUGAGUGCGGGAGAGGGAUGUGGAAUUCCAGGUGUAGCGGUGAAAUGCGUAGAUAUCUGGAGGAACACCGGUGGCGAAGGCGGCAUCCUGGACCGACACUGACGCUGAGGCGCGAAAGCUAGGGUAGCAAACGGG